CCUACGGGAGGCAGCAGUAGGGAAUCUUCCGCAAUGGACGAAAGUCUGACGGAGCAACGCCGCGUGAACGAUGAAGGCCUUCGGGUCGUAAAGUUCUGUUGUUAGGGAAGAACAAGUGCUAGUUGAAUAAGCUGGCACCUUGACGGUACCUAACCAGAAAGCCACGGCUAACUACGUGCCAGCAGCCGCGGUAAUACGUAGGUGGCAAGCGUUGUCCGGAAUUAUUGGGCGUAAAGCGCGCGCAGGCGGUUUCUUAAGUCUGAUGUGAAAGCCCCCGGCUCAACCGGGGAGGGUCAUUGGAAACUGGGAAACUUGAGUGCAGAAGAGGAAAGUGGAAUUCCAAGUGUAGCGGUGAAAUGCGUAGAGAUUUGGAGGAACACCAGUGGCGAAGGCGACUUUCUGGUCUGUAACUGACGCUGAGGCGCGAAAGCGUGGGGAGCAAACAGGAUUAGAUACCCUGGUAGUCCACGCUGUAAACGAUGAGUGCUAAGUGUUAGAGGGUUUCCGCCCUUUAGUGCUGAAGUUAACGCAUUAAGCACUCCGCCUGGGGAGUCGGUCGCAAGCUGAAACUUAAGGAAUUGACGG
rnacentral:rRNA from 1 species